GGACAGAACAGAGUUGAAUCUAGAAGAGAAGUUGAUUUCCCAGAAAAGCUUGUUGAAGUUAAUGAAGGAAAUAUUUUGAAUCAUGUUUUCUUCCUAAUUGCCUGAAGGAAAUAUAUUACAGGAAAGCGUUGAGAUACCUGCUGAUGGAGCAAUUGUGGAUACUGAAGAAUAUUCUGAGUCGUGUUUGCCUCCUAAUUACAUGAAGGAAAUAUAUUGCAGGAAAGUGUUAAGAUGUCUGCUGAUGAAGCAAGCGAAAUGUGGUGGCUCUGAUGAUGUGCCAAAUAGAAAAUGGCCUCUUUAGCAGGGAUUGUCAAGCAGACAGAGUUUGGAACCUUUUCUGAUGUGGAGACAGCCAUGAAAUCUUAUAGUCAAGAUGUUAAAAGACCUAAAUUUCGUCAGGCUGAAGCUGGAAAAAGCAGAGCAAAAGCUUACUGAAGUUCUUGCUGCACGAGGUUCAGUUGAGAACUCUUUUGCCAAGUUUGAUAAGCUCUGGAGGAAAACCAAGCAGCAGAAUAGGGGAUUCAGAUCAAGCAGCAAGUAGGUCCAUAGAACUCCUUUAUUCAGAAAUGCAAGAACAAAAAUUCUCAUAUAUGCAAAGUUACUAGCAUCCACAAAUUUUCAAUCAAGCUUUUCUCAUCACUUGGUUACUUUGAGCACAGAGUAGAAAAAUUGGCCCAUCUUCAAGCCUGCAAUGGUGAACCUGAAGCUGCCUUGGGGAGGAUUGAACGAGAAGAAUUUAACUUGACAAACGACCUUUUGAUUUUGAGAUCCAAACUUGCAAAAGAGAACUGCAGGAGGGAAGGAGAAGUAACAUAGAGAAAGCAGAUACCUCACGGAAAUUGGCAGUCGGUGAUAAAGAGGAGACCACGAAACGAGAUAAAGAGAGAAGCUUGAACGCUUAAAAAGGGAAUUUGAUUAUUUGAAUAUGAAAUAAGAGAAUAUAAACGCUGAGAUGCAAGCCGUUC
rnacentral:misc_RNA from 1 species